rnacentral:rRNA from 1 species
UGUGAGCUCGAUGAGUAGGGCGGGACACGUGGUAUCCUGUCUGAAUAUGGGGGGACCAUCCUCCAAGGCUAAAUACUCCUGACUGACCGAUAGUGAACCAGUACCGUGAGGGAAAGGCGAAAAGAACCCCGGCGAGGGGAGUGAAAAAGAACCUGAAACCGUGUACGUACAAGCAGUGGGAGCACGCUUAGGCGUGUGACUGCGUACCUUUUGUAUAAUGGGUCAGCGACUUAUAUUCUGUAGCAAGGUUAACCGAAUAGGGGAGCCGAAGGGAAACCGAGUCUUAACUGGGCGUUAAGUUGCAGGGUAUAGACCCGAAACCCGGUGAUCUAGCCAUGGGCAGGUUGAAGGUUGGGUAACACUAACUGGAGGACCGAACCGACUAAUGUUGAAAAAUUAGCGGAUGACUUGUGGCUGGGGGUGAAAGGCCAAUCAAACCGGGAGAUAGCUGGUUCUCCCCGAAAGCUAUUUAGGUAGCGCCUCGUGAAUUCAUCUCCGGGGGUAGAGCACUGUUUCGGCAAGGGGGUCAUCCCGACUUACCAACCCGAUGCAAACUGCGAAUACCGGAGAAUGUUAUCACGGGAGACACACGGCGGGUGCUAACGUCCGUCGUGAAGAGGGAAACAACCCAGACCGCCAGCUAAGGUCCCAAAGUCAUGGUUAAGUGGGAAACGAUGUGGGAAGGCCCAGACAGCCAGGAUGUUGGCUUAGAAGCAGCCAUCAUUUAAAGAAAGCGUAAUAGCUCACUGGUCGAGUCGGCCUGCGCGGAAGAUGUAACGGGGCUAAACCAUGCACCGAAGCUGCGGCAGCGACGCUUAUGCGUUGUUGGGUAGGGGAGCGUUCUGUAAGCCUGCGAAGGUGUGCUGUGAGGCAUGCUGGAGGUAUCAGAAGUGCGAAUGCUGACAUAAGUAACGAUAAAGCGGGUGAAAAGCCCGCUCGCCGGAAGACCAAGGGUUCCUGUCCAACGUUAAUCGGGGCAGGGUGAGUCGACCCCUAAGGCGAGGCCGAAAGGCGUAGUCGAUGGGAAACAGGUUAAUAUUCCUGUACUUGGUGUUACUGCGAAGGGGGGACGGAGAAGGCUAUGUUGGCCGGGCGACGGUUGUCCCGGUUUAAGCGUGUAGGCUGGUUUUCCAGGCAAAUCCGGAAAAUCAAGGCUGAGGCGUGAUGACGAGGCACUACGGUGCUGAAGCAACAAAUGCCCUGCUUCCAGGAAAAGCCUCUAAGCAUCAGGUAACAUCAAAUCGUACCCCAAACCGACACAGGUGGUCAGGUAGAGAAUACCAAGGCGCUUGAGAGAACUCGGGUGAAGGAACUAGGCAAAAUGGUGCCGUAACUUCGGGAGAAGGCACGCUGAUAUGUAGGUGAAGU